CGCCCCCGGGCGGGGCCGGGGCUCCGGGGCUCUGCGCUCCGCGCCCCGCCCGCAGCGCGGAACAACCGGGGCUUUGCUGCUUUAUCGAGAAACCCAUAGAUGACAAACGGAAAAGGUCUGCAGCGUGAUGUCCAGAGGACAAACCUCUGAGCAGCACCCGGCAACGUUGGACCGUUUCUCCUCACACCUCGAGCACAUCGAAACACCAAUGCACAGGUUGUAUAAAACGCUGCAGCUGCUGUGUAACCAUUUAAGCCCAAGAAGCCUUGAUCUCAAAUGCCAUCGGUGUAUGUUUGUUCACGGAGGUGUAUGCUAACACUGUUUUAAAACAUCGCUCAAAUCAGGAGGACAGAUGCCCCCGGGGCUCGUCCUCCAGGCAUUCUAAUCCUCUCACACGCUCCACAGCACCGAGAGCACUUCACCCAGGACGGGAGUGCACCGCUCUGGAGAUCGAAAUAACGAGCUUUGCUUCAGACACUUAAAGAAUAUGCAGAGAGAGGGGUUCUGUCACUUCUCCAUUAGUCAGGCCAGGGAACUGCAGCUUUACUAAGCAUUCUUGACAAAGACAGGACUCCGAACAAGUGUCUGCUCUGCCUUCUUGGCCUCGGCCCUUGCCUUGGUGUUGACUGGGCUGCCUCAGAAGCAGCCUGGCCUUAGCUGCAACGACUCAAGCUUAAUUUUUCAUAUUCUUAAUUACAACUAGCAAAGCUAAAGGAGAAACACUGACUCUAGUUCUCCUGUGAUUGGUAUUUAUGGGAGCUUUUCCUUUUGUUCUGUCCAUUCUGAUGACUUAGAAAUGUAUCCUUAUGCACGCAGAUACCUUCUUGGUGAAAUAUGUGACAAGUUUCCAGUAACAAAACAACAUUUUAAGAAUAGAUGUAAUGCUUAAAAAACAGAAAAAGCCAACAAAACCAAGUAUGUUAUCACUAUCAUCUUCAGAUAUGCCAUAUUCUCAGCUGAUUUCAAGAAAAUCACAUGAAGAACAAUAAACAGUCCAUUGCUUUGUUUUCAAAACAAAUGAGUUGCUGUAAGAAUAUCAAGUUGUGUCUCUGAGUUAUCCUGAGUAGAGCAGUUCUGCUGUCCAAGUUACUCCAGGUUUAUGGAGGGAGUAAAGGAUUUAAUGUAAUUGUGUUGCAGAAGACCAUAAUCUCCUGUACAAUUUCAGCUAAAAGUGUGCAAAGAGUACCUUUACCCAGCAUAACAACCUCCGCAGCCUCUCCUCACCGUAAGCCAGCAUCUCCUCAGGGUCAUCAUUAGGAAGGUUUAAUUGCAGAACCAAAACCAAACCAAACCAACCAACCAAACCAACCUCAAGCAUCAACCCCGAGAACACAUGUGACCAACAGCAAGCACACUUUUGAAGCGGUCAUUCCAAGCUGACACUGCACAUCUGGAUCUGCCUGCACAGACACCGAGCGAUGAGCGAGUAGCUGGAAAGCACAGGGGCUGCUAGGUAAAGGUGUUUCCCAGGCAGUUGCCCAGCUGCUCCUGGAACCGCAAUUUCCUCAUUGCAAACACUGGGUUGAACACACAGUAAUGAGAGGUACAAUUCACUAGGUAACAGAUAUUAGAAAAAGACCACUCGGAUUAAGCACAUUGGUGCCAAGAAACUCCAAUAAAAAUAUGAUUACAGGAUAAACGAUUACCAUUAACAAUGCCCUCUCAAAAACCACAGCUGUCAUUUUUCCAGGUAGAGUCCUAAUCCUGGAAAGAUCAGCGCAGAACAAAGAAACCCAUCUCUGGGGAACGUCUGACAUUACAAAACUCAGCCCCAGUUCCUCGUUUGUUUCUAUUCUCCAUUUGAAGAUUACCUUUCACCUGGCCCUAAUUGGUGCAGCUGAUGGAGUAACGAGGGCAGGAGGCAGUUUUGUCUCCUCACUGUUACCACGGGCUGUGCUUUGGAUGUGCAGCCAAGGUGCCCCUAAGUUUUGUGAAAUGCAGUGAAUCCAUAGCAGGAGUGCUGGCUAUUUCACAGGACCGCCUUUACACUGAAGUACACGCCUGCGGAACUGAUGGAGACACAUGAUUCUCAUCCAGAUCAUCAAGAACAUUUCACUGUAUAAGCACAUCCAAGCUGCCAUCAGUCUGAGCCCUUCGGAGACGUGCGUACGUUCUUGACGUUUCCUCAUAUAAACGCAGGCUGUGGAACAAUUCUGCAUCGGGAGACAAACGGAUUAAACAAUCUGCCAAGUUCUUUUGUUUGGUUGUCUUCAUUUUGCUAAUCCAUUUAACUUUUGAUGACCACAGAAAGUGCUGUGCCCUCAACGGACGCCCUCCAACAACCGCAUUUGCAUGGGGACAGCAGCACGCCGUGUAAUUAUAAUACUUCUGUUUAAGUCCCAGGCGGGCUGGGAGCAGGAAUCUCUCUCCCGAGCGCUCCCGCUGACCGGAGAACGAAGUAACAAACGUCUUUGUAAGAAAUGAUUGUCUCUAACGCAAAGUGUUUACCAAGUUAUCGCAGCGGUGCUCUGUUUUCUGUUUGGAUUAAAUUUUAUUAUAAUAACA